rnacentral:rRNA from 1 species
GACGAACGCUGGCGGCGUGCUUAACACAUGCAAGUCGAACGGAAAGGCCCCUUUGGGGGUACUCGAGUGGCGAACGGGUGCGUAACACGUGAGUAACCUGCCCUUGACUUCGGGAUAACUUCAGGAAACUGGGGCUAAUACCGGAUAGGAAUCCUUGCUGCAUGGUGGGGGUUGGAAAGCUUCGGCGGUUUUGGAUGGACUCGCGGCUUAUCAGCUUGUUGGUGGGGUAGUGGCUUACCAAGGCUUUGACGGGUAGCCGGCCUGAGAGGGCGACCGGCCACAUUGGGACUGAGAUACGGCCCAGACUCCUACGGGAGGCAGCAGUGGGGAAUAUUGCACAAUGGGCGGAAGCCUGAUGCAGCAACGCCGCGUGCGGGAUGACGGCCUUCGGGUUGGAAACCGCUUUCAGCAGGGGCGAAGCUUGUGGUGACGGUACCUGCAGAAGAAGCACCGGCUAACUACGUG